rnacentral:rRNA from 1 species
UAGGCUUGACAUCCCAAGACUAUAGUAGAGAUACUGUUGUGUCUGCUUGCAGAAACUUGGUGAC